rnacentral:sRNA from 1 species
CAAUAGACUGGCUUCACAUGAGGGAGUUGGUGCACUUCUCUUUUUAGGAAGAUUCCUAAAAAGGAGGUGAUGCCAAUGGGGAUUGAAUCGGUGUUAACGUUAAUGAUAUCCUUUGGGAUGCUUAUUGCGUUUAUCAUGUCUGACAAGAACCAAAAAAAAUAACCCCUCAUGUGUUUUAGCCAGGCGCUGAGGGAUUACUUCUCUGAGUGUACCGCCCCCUUAUGGGGUUGGUCUAUUGGAACCGUUCCAUGUGUCCAGCAUGGAGC